CCGAUGAUGCAGUACCAGUCACUUCAACAAUCGUCUCCUUGAUUUCUUCCACCGUCUUAGCACUAUCCUCCUCCUUCGCUGCUACCUUCUCGGUCACUUUCUCCGCCGGAGCUGCAGGUUCACCUUCUUUCUUCUCUUCCACCACAGGUGCAGCUUCUUUCUUCUCUUCCACCACAGGUUCAGCUUCUUUCUUCUCUUCCACCACAGGUUCAGCUUCUUUCUUCACUUCCACCACAGGUACAGCUUCUUUCUUCUCAACAGGUUCAGCUUCUUUCUUCGAUUCCACCACAGGUACAGUUUCUUUCUUCUCCUCCACCACAGGUUCAGCUUCUUUCUUCUCUUCCACCACAAGUGCAGUUUCUUUCUUCUCUUCGACCACAGGUGCAGUGAAUUCAUGUUUGUUCAGAGCAUCUCGAACCAAUUCCUUCAACUCAGCUAAAGCCUUCUGUUCAGGAUUUG
rnacentral:lncRNA from 1 species